GAGGGUCUAGCUCAGUGGAAGAGCACAUGGUUAGCAGGCAUGAGUCCUGGGUUCAAUCCCCAGUGCCUCCA
rnacentral:tRNA from 1 species